CAUUAAGAAGCUUUUAUAGCACUAGCCUUUUAAGCUAGAGAGGGGGAAUAACAGUCCCCCUUAAUGAA
rnacentral:tRNA from 1 species